GUGCUCACUUUGGCAGCACAUAUACUAAAGCUGGAACAAUACAGAGUGGAUUAGCAUGGCCCCUGCACAAGGAUGACAUACAAAUACGUGAAGUGUUCCAUACUUUA
ensembl:snRNA U6 U6 spliceosomal RNA